rnacentral:rRNA from 1 species
GAUGAACGCUAGCGGCAGGCUUAACACAUGCAAGUCGAGGGGCAGCGCGGGAUAGCAAUAUCCUGGCGGCGACCGGCGGAAGGGUGCGUAACGCGUGAGCGACAUGCCCGUUGCCCGGGGACAACCGGUGGAAACGCCGACUAAUCCCCGAUGGGAUACGAUGCUUCAUGGCGUUGUAUUGAAAGUUACGGCGGCGACGGGUUGUCUCGCGUUCGAUUAGCUGGUUGGCGGUGUAACGGCCCACCAAGGCUGCGAUCGGUAGGGGUUCUGAGGGGAAGGCCCCCCGAGAGGGGACUGAGACACGGUCCAUACUCCAAAGGGAGGCAGCAGUGAGGAAUAUUAGUCAAUGGGCGGAAGGCUGAACCAGCCAUGCCGCGUGGGGGAAGGAGGCCGUAUGGGCUGUGAACCGCUUUGGCCUGGGGGGAAUAAGGGCGUCGCGAACGUCGGAUGAGAGUACCAGGCGAAUAAGCAUCGGCUAACUCCGUG